GACGAACCGAGCGAACGUUGUUCGGAAUAACUGGGCUUAAAGGGCGCGUAGGCGGGCCGCCAAGUCCGAGGUGAAAUCCUCCGGCUCAACCGGAGAACUGCCUCGGAUACUGGAGGGCUGGAGGGGGGUAGGGGCACGCGGAACUGUGGGUGGAGCGGUGAAAUGCGUUGAUAUCCACAGGAACUCCGGUGGCGAAGGCGGCGUGCUGGACCCCACCUGACGCUGAGGCGCGAAAGCCAGGGGAGCAAACGGG
rnacentral:rRNA from 1 species